UACGUAGGGGGCAAGCGUUGUCCGGAGUUACUGGGCGUAAAGGGCGUGCAGGCGGUUUGGUAAGUUCAGGGUGAAAGCUCCCGGCUCAACUGGGAGAGGUCCUUGGAUACUGGCAGACUUGAGGGAGGUAGAGGAGAGUGGAAUUCCCGGUGUAGUGGUGACAUGCGUAGAUAUCGGGAGGAACACCAGUGGCGAAGGCGGCUCUCUGGGCCUUUCCUGACGCUGAGACGCGAAAGCGUGGGGAGCGAACCGG
rnacentral:rRNA from 1 species